AGUGCUGUGUUUAAUGGCAGAGGUAUGUGCAUACUAAGGAUUUUUAUGACCAUAUAAGUACCAGACACCGUGUGGACGGCUGCUGAAUCACCCCGUGUCCCACCGUGUCCCCCCGUGUGUCAACAUGGUCUGGUCUGAGGUGAAAACAAGUAGCAGCGGCGCGAUAGCUCCGUUUCUCUGUUUCUGUUGGAAAGAGGCUAAAACAUUAGCUCUACGUUGAGGAAGAGUAUAAAAAACUUUACACUAUAAACAAUUUAAAUAGAUCAGCAGUUUUAAUUUAUUCGAAUAUUUACCACAGGGGGAAAGUAACUUGUAAUCAAUAAUUUCCUGUGUUUUUAAUAGGAUAUGUCAAGUAAAAUAAGAAGGGUAGUUCGUCCAUUUCUCUUCGUCCAAAUUUGAGAUCUUGCGAGGAGCUUUUAUUUAGAUCUGUGUGACUAUAUGUUUAAUUUUGUGUUAAGAAAUGUAUUAUUGUUGUUUAGCAUCUUCCCAGACGUACCAGUGUGUAAUUUUAAUGGUUACAAAUAGAAAAAAAAAUUACGAAUGGUAGUUUUAAUAUAUAAUUUUCUCGUUGGUUUCUGAUGACAUCAGUCAUGUUGUCCUAACAAUAUUUUCUCCUACCAAAGGUUUUGUAAAUGUCCUCUAACACAGACAUUCCAUUCCUGCCUGUGUAUGUUUUCUAAGAGCUCGUGGAUCCAAACCAAACUACGGUUGAUUACAAAUGGGAAGGUCUGUGUGUUUACCUUUACAAAACAACCUAAAACAAACUCUAGGAACUAGUGUGAAGUGGGUUUAGAUCGUCAGGAGUCGUUUUGGCCUCAUGCCAGCUGAGAUUGAGGGAGGUCAGAGGUCAGAGCACAGUGGAACCAUUAAGAGUUUCUGAGGACAUCGGCCUGUAGGACCUUGAACUGCUCAAAACAUGUGCAACAUCAGGAUUCAAAAAUAAACAUCCUGCUGGUUUCUUUUUCAGUCUGAUGAAUUCAAAUGUCUUCUAAUGUACUUUAAAAUAUUCAUCUGACUGUGUCCGUUCUCUGUGUUUAUACAAAUAAAGAGAAGAAAUUA